rnacentral:lncRNA from 1 species
GACAGGAAAGUCUACACCCAUUUCUUCAGUUAUACUAAUCUCCUCUCUUUUCUUCCUAUUUUCCUCGUCUUUUCUUUCUUGCUCUUUUCUCUAUUCUUUUUCUUCUUUCCUUUUGCAUUCUUCUUCUUUUCUUUUUUGCUCUUUUUCUCUUGCUCUUCGCUCUUUUUUUCUUUUCUUUUCUGAAAUUUUUCUUUUUUAUUUCUUUCUUCCUCUUUUCUUUGUUGAUUUUUUUUUUUCUUCUUCUUCGCUUUUCUUCUCUUUUUUCAAUUUUCUUCUUAUUUUUUGCUCGUUCUCUCUUCCUCCUACUUCUUGUCAAGAUGAGCCACCCGAUGGGCUUGCCUUCUAGCAGCAGAAAUUGCUUUCCCCAGUGCCGAAGCAAACCAAGAAUGCGAGAUUUUUCCUAUAGAAGCUUCUUUCGGCUGUUUGAUUGAAGGCGAUAAUGUGGAUGAUCCAAUUGAGGAAUAAGAAGAAGAAGAAGAAUCAAUUAAGAUAGUCUGAGAAUUUACCUUGGUCGAUGUCUGAUUAAGGGCUGAACAAAAGCUUAUUCCUCUGCUGAAGUUACAGCCGAGGGAACUUUUAUGGAAGGUAGAUCCUCAGUUGGAGCAGAGAAAGGUUAGGAAUGAAUUUUUAUUGCGAAAGUCUUACGCUGUUUCAGUUGCGGCUAUCGACUUAGAGAGUGUAGCUAUCGGCCGCUUCUCUGUACGUUGGGACGAUGGGUUAGGGACAGUUGUCGGCUGGAAAAGCAUGUAUUAGUGAGUUCAGCCAAGUACGUAUUCAAAAGAAAAUAUAUUGAAAAAUAAAAUUUACCUUGGAAGUGUGGAGAAAAUCUGCUGGAUCAUAGUCUGAGUGUUCCUCAGAAUCUUCCUGUCUUUGGGAAUUAGGAGAGAUUUCUGUUCCUAUAAAAGUUACUGAAAAAAUAAUUAAAUUAGAUUAAGGGCAAAGAAGAGAAAGAGAUACAAAUCGAUUAUAAAAUAAUGUACCUUCUGCAUGACGAAUUUUGCGAAGAACAAGAGACGUCAUUUGGAAAAAGACUUGUUCAUAAAAAACAUCCCAAGCUUUUGUGAAGUGAAAGUCCAUUGCCCAUAAGUGAUUCGGCCUAAAGCUUAUGAGCUUGAAGAAACGUUGGAGAUGAUUCCCUAUGGCUGAGAGCCGAUCAGCCUUGACUGCACUUUUCGUAAGAGGACGGUUGUUGGUGGUAUUAGCCGUGAAAAAUUUAGCCAGGACUGGAAUUGCCUGAACGAACCCGAAUUGACGCGCCACAUACUGAGGAGAAUACACUUCAAUGCUGGGCGUCAACUUGGAACAGGUUUUCAAUCCAAUGUGCAAGUCUCGAGAAGCCAGUAAGGAAUACUAGACAUCGGAGUACUCACUGGUGAGACAAAUGGCCAGUUGGCCCUUGAUGGCUUCAUACCGAGUGAGAAGCCAGGAUGGACCAGUAACACAUUCUCCAAAAGAGGCCCACGUGAUGAAACGACGUUGGCUCAGUUCAUAGAAAACUUUAAAAUAUGCGGUGAAGUCAACCGGUUGGCCCGAAGACAUAGGCUAUGGACAGUUGAGGGCUAAACCAUAGGUGUCAAAGUGAGGAGCCGAGUCCAAAUCUAAAGGGGAUUGGUAUAAAAAAGGAAAGUAAAUUUGCAAACACAUUUGUAAAAACCACAAAACACCGCAAUCGGAACUAAUUACUAAGCCAUUCCCCGACUAUAGUGGUUUGAUGGAUUCAAAAAAUUUUCAAUGUACAAAAGUAAGAAAAUAUGUGCCUAAUGCUAAUUUCUCAUCGUUGGCCAAAGCAACGGCGAUCAGGACAAAAUCUUGAUUAAUUUUCUAUGAGCGGGCAGAAAAAGUUAUGGCAAAGCCAAUGAAGAAGAAAAGUAGUGUGCUCCUUCUUAGUAACUGGACUAGGGGAAUGACCUACGAACCGGCGAAUAAAUUUGGUAUAGGCAAGGUCCGCCUUUGGGUCAAAAUAUAUAGGCCUUAAAAUCAUCCACUCCAUAAGGGUUGUAGCCCAUCGAAAGGGUAACGCCGUGAGGACGAAUACCAAUUAUUGCUGCCACAUCCAAAAGAGUCGGUGUUGAAGGGUGCUGAUCUGAAAGGAAAAGUGUUGGAAACAGAGGACCAGAAGCACAAAGUCGCAGCUAGAAGAAGGUUGUCGGCCUGGAGAGAAGUUCUCGAAAGUUGGAUGGCUUCGUAAAUUCCAACAUUAUGCCAGAGAUCAGAAUAAGAUUCUUCGACUCACUCUAGCCACGCCAAGUAAGCGUCUAAAACGCUAGGCCAAGUUCGAAGACUUUUUCCUGAUGACUUCGAGGCAUACCAAGAAUGCAGAUGAAUGGCAUCAGCCAUUAAGGGAAGAGCAUUGGUCGAGAAAGGAAAAUUCUCAAGAGCAGGGGUCUCUACAAAAAAAAGCUGAGCACAAGUCGAGAAGGAUCCGAUUCGACAUAUGGCUUGAAGAGGCUAUAUUCAAGAAAAGGAGAUGAAAAAAGAGGAGGAAUCGGCACCAUAAAAAAAAAAAGAGGCGUGAGGAAGAGGAAUCUCAGAUUGAGGGACAGUUGUAAAGAUGAAGAGGUGUGAAAGAAGAAAUCUCAGAUGAAAAAGCAAGAGAAAGAGGAGAGGAAAACGAAGUGCAAAAGUAGCAAAGGAGCUGCCGGAUGAAAUUUUAAAAAAUAGUCUUAAUGGUGAAAAGGUGGUGGCCAUAAAUGACCUAAUUAAUGUCUCAAAAGGGACAAAAAGAACGUGGCAAAUCGUGACCGUCAAAAGUGAAAGGACGGCUGGGAGAAGUAAACGGUAUAAGGCGAUUUAAAAUGUUGACCUUGGAAUCCGAGCCCUUGGAGGAGAUUAUGCCAGCCACCGAACUGAUCAUUCGGAAGCUAUCGAGGGGGUAAUUGUUGGUGAAAAACAAAUCACGCCACAUGGUAAACCGGGAUACACCGCAAGCAUGGCCUUUGAAGCCAAGGACGAGUAACAUAUGGUGCGCCAGGAACAAAGAAGGAUUCACAGCAAAUCGUAAAGUAGUUAAAGGGUUAUGCGGUUAAGAUCGGCUAGUCAUGGCCCACGAAAUCAGGGAUGUGGUCGAUCAUGGGAAUAACUGAAUAAUAAUAGACAUAUUAUAAAUAGAUAUGAGACAUCUGACAAAGGGGUUUUUUUUCCUAUGAACGAGAAGACCAAUUUCUAUUCUCCCCUGCAUCUUUUCUUACUUUCUAGGAGUAGUCUACCUGUAAUCUUUUUUACUUUUCCUGCAUUUACUGCAUUUCCUAAGAGUAGUCCGUAGUUUAGAUUUUUCUCUGGGAUCAUACACUAUAGUGGCGCGCGUUCUUUUCUAUAAACAUUUCUCAAAUUUUGAGUAAUAUAAAAGCUUUUCGGCUCUUCAGCCGAACGGAAAGUACAGUGUUGUUCCCUUGACUCGGCUGAUCCAGUCGAACCGAACUUACUGCGCGAAACUUAACUCGGCUGAUCUGAUCCCUCAUCAGUCGAAUCGCUUGAUCUAAUAGUGGGCGCAAGUUUCGAGGGUCAUCAUUCGUAGCCAUUCUGCCUCCUCGCACACUUCCCGAAAAAGGGUUUUGACCGAGCCAGCGGUCAAAGAAAUUGGCUCGCGACACAUACAAAGUCAACAAAUAUACAAAUUCCAUGCAAAAAAUUAGGGAGGGAGGGCACAAAAAGUAAAUAGUGCAUAGGUGUUAAGAAGCUAUUGCAUAAAACUAAAGAAGGGAGCAUAACUUCUUGAAAAUUGUAGGAACUUAAAAACCAGAAGCUAAUAAUUAUAGUGUGAAAGGGAGGACACCAAAAAAAACAUCCAAAAAAAAAAGAGAGGAGGCAUAACACAAUAGCAAACCUUGCUAUAAAGACUUGGAGGAAAAGCUAGCAGUGGGAAAGCGAAACCUUACAGGCACUUAAGGCAGAAGGACAAAACAUUAAUUUUCGGACAUUUAAUAUACCUAUACAUAAUGGAAUAGUAUAAGAAAAAGUAGAAACAUAGAUUAUCUCUAAGCAGGCAAUAAAAAUAGAGCAAUAUUUAGGGCCUUACGAAAUAGUAGAAUCGUAGAAUCCUAGAGAGAAAAUAAAUGUACGAGUGAGAUGAGUAAUAUUUUAAAUAAGGAAUAUACCUUUGUGAGUAGGCAAUAAAAAUAAUGAAAAAUGUAGGGACCCAUAAAAGACACAACCAUUAGAAAGGUGUAGAGGAAGUUAAUACAUCAGUGAGAUGAGUAAUUAUUGAAAUGAAGAAUAUACCUUUUAGGUUAAGAGAGAUGACACUACUGUGCUAUAUCAAACAGUGAGCAGUAUUUAUAACCCCUGAAGCUGCCUUUAUGGAAAUGAUCAUCACAAAGCAAAGAGGAGAAGAAGAAAAAAGAAAGAGGAAAAUAAGUGGACUAUAAGUAAUGCUUAAUGAUUAUAGGCAAUCUCAUCACUAGCAAGUGGCCCAUAUGGGAAAAUCAUUCAAGAUCUUUGAUAGUAUAGUGCAAAUACUUUGCAGCAUCCAUACAAAUAUAAUAAUCAUUCAAUAAAUCAUUCAAUAAAAUCUAAAAAAAAUCUCAACAAAAUCAGGUGAUUCAUUUCAUUAUAAUAAUCACAAAAACCUUUAAAAAGUCUGUAAAAUAUCUUAAGAGAUCUAAAAAAGUCUGUGAAUAUCCACCGAAAAUAGGGUAGUUUUAGGGUGUUGCAACUAGUGGAUCCAUCCAUCCGUCGGUCGAAUCGGGUAGUAUGGAAAUUGGGAGAGGGGCGUUGGAGAAGGGAGACAUGGGAAAAGGUCAGGACAAUCACACCUCUAUUAUAGAUUAUCUUUGUAGGUAGUAGGGGCUAGGACACAGAGAGGAGCGAGAAUCACACCUGUAAUAUAGGUUGCCUUCGAAAGCAGAGGGCGCAAUGAGUUCACCAUGAUGUUCAAUCCGACUAUGGUCAUUAGAUUAACCGUCGUGAAGAGAGAAGGGGGAGGGGCCAAGAGAGCGUGGGAACGAGAGAGUAGAGAGGGAGAAGGACAAAUAAAGAAGAGAGAGACGAGUUGGUGUCAGAGAGGUGCAUAAUGAGAGAGAGAGAGAGAGAGAGAGAGAGAGAGAGAGAGAGAGUAAGUAUAGAGCUAGGGAGGGAGAGUCCUGUAUAGGAGGAAAGAGAGAGAAAUAGAGAGACGGCAGAGAGACAUAUAGGAAGGAGAGAGAGAGAGUAUUUUGUCAAGGAGGCAUAAGUAUGGAUAGUUGAUUAGCAAUUUCAUCCAACACUAAAAAGAAAAGAAAAAGAAAGACAAAUAACUUCACACUUUCCCCUAAAGUUUCCAUCCUUGUAGUGCCUAUUCCAAAAAGAGUGUUGUCACUCGUAAUAUAGAAUAGUUGAUUAGCAAUUUUAUCAAACACUGAAAAGAAAGAAGAAGAAAGAAAUAAUUUCACGCUUUCUCCUAAAAUUUCCGUCCUUCAAAGAAAGUAAUGCCACUCAAAUUGUAGAAUAGCUGAUUAGCAAUUUUCUCAAACACUAAACAGAAAAGAAGAAAGACAAAUAACUCCAUGCUCUCUCCUAAAAUUUCCGUCCUUGGUAGUGUCAAUUCCAGCCGCCAAUUGUCGCCACACGGCACAUCAUUUAUACAUUUUCUGUCCCCGCCAACAAGUAGUGAGCUACAGGUUGAAUUAUUCUUGGCUCAUGUUACACAUCUUUAUGGUCUAUUACAGGGAAUUGAAAUUUAUUUUCCCCUACAGGAUAAGCUAGCUCCACUGGCAACUGAAAUCCAUCAAAACAUUUACGUAUGUGUUCCAAUUAGACAGAAUUAUGAGAACUCAUCUGUAUGAAAGGACAAGCUGUUAGCAGCAGAAGCUUGGAAAUUGAGAAUUUCUGGUACUGGAGAAUGAUGAGCUCGAUAUUUAAUCCUCCCACUCAUUCUGAAAGACCUUUGCCAUGGAUGCUCAAAAGUAAUGAUAACAUGCUGCAUGAAAGGAAAAGAACAGACAAAAGAGAAAGCAAUUAGAACACAUUUCAAUUAUCUAACAAAUGAAAAUAGUGUUCUUUUUUUCCUUUGCUUGUGUCUGGAAAAAGAAGUUGCAUCGAGCAAAUGUAGAUGCAGAUUACAUGAAGAAGUUGAAUGAUGUGAGGCAUGGCAUUUGCUCUAUUGCUCUGGACUACUCACUGCCAUAAAUAGUAAACAAUUAGAGAUACUGAACUUGAUAAGACGAACUUGAAUGUGAAGGGAUACAGUAAUACAAGCAUUUACCGUUUCAACAGAUAAAGGGUGUGUUAGAGAAGGAGCAACACAUGCUGAGCUUGGCUCUUUUGGCGAGCCAGGAUGAUGAAAUGCUUCUGACAUUCGCAACACAAUUUUCUCAUCCUUUACCCUCUCAACAACUUGGGAAGCUUUGCUGCUUGUUUGAAGAAUACCAUUACUUCCGAUGGGUCCUGACUAGUUAAGAAUUUAUAAGAAGAGAGGUAAAUCACUAAGAGAUCUAAGAAUAACAAAAGUUUUAUAUUCACAUGACGCAAGGUUGAAUCUACAUGACUUAAGUCUUUGAUGUGCACAACAAUGAUUGUUAUAUCAUCCGUCCGACUUUCGUGCUCUAACCAAUUCUUAUAAGACUCCGAAACAACUGCUGAGCAUGCGUCCCGAGGAUCUUCAAAUUUAGACACCUGAAGUAAAGGGAAAAAUCCUUUAGGAAAAGCAAGACUUAGAAAAAUAAAUCAUUACUUCAAACCUGACAUAUACAGAAUGUUGAAUUUUGAAUAUCAAAAUCGAAAUUAAACGGACAAUAAACUUCCUGUACUUAUGGAUUGAAGCCAUAAAUAGCUGCAGGUCACACUGCUGAAUUAUAGUUACUGUAUUUUGUGCCACGAUUAGUUGACCUACAGCUAUUCGGAAAAGAUUGUGAAGAUCUCCAAGAAGUGAGGGUGCCGAGCCCAGUACUUUAAAAGAGUCAAAAAAAAAGUGUAUCUAGUCAUGAAAGAAACUCAACACCACUCAAUAACAGUUUGAACAACAUCCAUCUCAAAAUGUGCAACCAUCCAUCUCAACACAUGCAGCUCAUGUUGUCAACAAUAUAGCCUAACUAACCCUAAUCGUAAACUAUAAACAAGUACUAGUACUACGAUCCCUUUACACAAGUAGAAUCUAUGAAAGCACAGGCACUUCAAAUAAUUGCUAAGUCCACACGUGUCAGUGAUGGGGUGGACACAUUCUUGCUCCAGUUCUUCUUUGGUGCGCCUCUAUCAACUCUGGAGUCAUCUAGCAUGGACUGGAAUGUAUCUAUUUAGGAUUUGGUAGGUUCCUUGGGACAUGUAUUCCCAUGGAUCAAGGCCUCAUUUGGUGCUGCUUCUAUUUCUUUUUCUUUUUGAAAUCCAAAUUCUAUGCGAUUAAAUGGGCCAACAAAUGGCAGAUCGUUUGCAAUCAAUAUACCUAGGGAUUCUGUUCAGCGACAAAAAAAAAAAAGAAAAAAAAAAAGAAAAUGGCAACAAAAAAAUAAAACCAAGUAGCAACAUUUUUGCGCCUAUUUAAGAUUUUUAAGAUGCCAUUCUGCAUACAAAAGCAUCCAACAUAAUGUUCCAAAAGGCGGUACGCGGUAUCCAUGCGAUUACCUACCGCAAAACGCAUAUGCGGUAUGCGGACACAUACAUGGAUGCAUUGCGGUCCAUGUAAAUAUUAAUAAAACAUUUAUAGGUAUUAAAAAUAAAUAUAAAUGCUUCCAAACAAGGCUAAAUAACUAAGGUAAAAUUCAGAAUUCACAAAUUAAAAUAAUUAAUUUCAAAUAAAUGACCUCAUAUGCACACGUAUUCACAAAACUAACAAUUAGUAAUCUACUUUUAACUAUUAAAUAGAGAAAUAAAUACAAUUUUGAUGCAAAAUCAUAAAAGAUGUCAAACAAAAAUCAAUCAAAAGCGGUAUGCCAAACUUUUAUGAAAAAUAAUAAUUUUUUCAAUAAACUAGCAUUCACAUCAUUUGAGAGUCCAAAACUUGAAAAAAAAAAAAUUUCUAGUAUAAUAACAUCUAACAACUACAAAAUUAUUUACCAAUAAUUAUAAAUAAAUAUUAGAGAGAUUAGGAAUAAUACGACUAAAAUGAGAAGAGAGAUAGUUAGAUUAUAUUUAUAUAAAGAUAAUUAUAUUUUUAUGCAUUAUUAUUAAUUAAAAUUGAAUGAAAGUAGUCAUAUGUAUAUGUAUUAUUAUUAAUCAAAUAAUCCCAUUCAACAUUGUAUUUCAAUCCUACUUUUAAAAUAAAAAUAAAUGAGUAAGAAAAGAAAAACUUUACCCCAUAUGGGCAACAUGUGUAGUCCGACCGCAUACCUCACCACAUAUUACAUAUGUGGUGCCGUUUAUAGUCUGAACCGCACAAGCGACUGCAUGAACCGCUUAUUGGAACAUUGAAGAUACCAAGGAUGGAGAAGUCCAGCUGGAUAUGGACAACCUCAUAAAUAAUUCUCAAGUUUCUCAAGGAAUAUCAUUUCAAUUUUUGAAAUUUGGGACUAUAAAUAGCAACUACUAGUUCAGAAUUGGACUUAAAAUCUCAACUCGUGAACUUCAAUAUGUGUCAGACAUAUUUGUAUAGCACCAUGAAAAACCAUGAAGAUAGUUAAAUACUUAUGUCAUCUCAGAAAUUGAAGUGGCUUGGUGAUGCAGAAAGUAGCCCUAAAAUAGCUCUUCCAACUAAUAUUAAGCAAAACUGCAAAGUAAUUCAAUAUGGUACAUAUUGCCAGCUGUUGUAUGUCAAAAUCCAUUCAGCUAUAUAUGUUCCCUUAAAAACUUUCUCAAGAAUUUUUCUUUUCUUUUCAUUUUUAUUUUUUAAAGAGAUUUCCAUUAGGCAUCAAUUCAAUUUAGUGUGAGGGUGAUACAUAAAUAGAGGGAGGUAAGAAAGAAGAUUCCCUAAAUCAGGACAAGUAGAUGAAAAUAUUCAGGGAAGAUGAAAAUAACAGGCCCCAAAACCUACACAGAACAAAGGAAAAUAUUAUUAAUGUGCUUUCCUAACCUACAAGUGAAAAUCAAACAACAAAUGGGGAUGAUUGUAGGCAGUCGCCAACCUAAGCAUACAAACAACAAUGUACCAAACUCAAGACAAGAAGUGCAGAUCAGUCGAGUUUAGCAAAAGAAAAACAAACAUGAAGAAAGAGUAGACAACAGCAGUCUCUGCUUCCUGCACCUCCAGCAACCAGCCCUAAGAGCUCCAGACCAUCAACCAAAUCCGCAAGUCAAAACCCUGCUUCCACUCCAUCGGACGUCAACUUUGAUAGAUACGAACAAGACAUACCAUUUCGAUAGCAGGUAGCGAUAAGAACUAAAGAACCAGGAACCAACAUUUUGGAGUAGAACUAGAAAGCUGGACAAAAGCUACAGUAAAACAAGAGAUUGUGACUCAAAGAAAAUGAAAGAUAAAAAAUACUUAGGUUAGGUUGAUACCAUGGAUUUAAGUACCGUGGCACAGGAUUGUGCCGGAAACUUGCGUGCCGGGCUGUGCCGACGCGUACCGGUCACAAAAAAUAUAUAUGUGCCGACACAUAAUAGCAUGAGAUAUUUAUUUGCUUUAGCAACAAAAUAUUCUAACGAUUUAUUAUGUAUCUUUAUCAAAUAUUUUGAACUUUAUUGAGAAAAUUACUUACUAAUUUGAAGAAUAGAGAGUUUUGAGCUCUGCCAUUAGCACGGGGGCUGUAUCGUGCCGAUAUCUUGUUGGCACGAUACGACACAGUAGAUACGGCCCGUACUGAUGGGCAUUUAAAUCCUUGGUUGAUAUAAUGGUAAAACUAUGGGUUGGACCAACAAUCGGCCGGUAGAAACGAAAGGCACAUGAUAGCGAAGAAGAAACAUAAAGCCACCGGCCAGUGGAAAUGAAUGGUACAUGAAAGCAGAGAAGAAAACACAAUGUCACCUGGAGAGGAGAACGAGCAGAACAAACGAGGAUCAAAGGAUUAACUUUUCUAAUGUCCAAUGUCAGGAUAUGCAAGACCAAUAAAAUUAGGAAGAAGAAGGCAUAAACACUAUUAACAAAGUCAAGGUGUCUCUUUCAAUCAUAAUAAAGACCCUAACAGCACUGGGUUUGUUGUAGAAAAUAUACUUGCAAAUAAUUUUUUUUUAAGGCACGUUAUGGUGGCAACAAGUUUAUCAAAUACUAUUAGAUUACAAUGUACACAAAGAAGUACAUUGCAAGUAACAAAUGCCCAACAAUAAGGCAGAGAAAACAAGGAAGACAUUGAUUGCUUCCUUUAGUUCAUACCGAAACUUCCAAUCCAUUAAGUGUAUUGCUCAAAUAUAUAUUUGCAAUAUGACAAGCUACAGAUUAGUAGUUAUAACAUACAGUAAAGUAGGGGCAAGUUUUACAAACACCAGACGCUUGCAGCCUUGGCUAAAGAGGAAAACAUGGGACCAAUUUCAACGCCAGCUCCAUUUUUAGCCCUCCAUAAUUUUGUCUUCAUAACAUUUUCCUACUCAUUUGCAAUACUACUACAUGCUAUGAAGCACAGAUAUUUCAAAUUUCAUGCCGUACCCGUAUCGGACACGUAUUGGAUACCGAUACGUGCCCGAUACGUGUCCAAUACGGCAAUGAAGUAUCCGGCAUAUUUAAAAAAUAAAAAAAAUAUCGGAUGCACCUCGGAUACGGGAGGGAUACAGGGGGAUACAAGGGGAUAUUGCCAGAUUCUUUUUUGGUCUAAAAUGAUCAGGCGCAAAUUUUUUGAAAAGCCCACAUCCAAACCCAUCGGAAAUAAGAAAAAGAGAGAGAAAAAUGUCAAUCUUUGUUUGUCAUUUCUUCUAUCUUUUUGCUCUUGAAUGGUUGAAGGCUCUCUCUCGUCUAUUUUCACACAGUAUUAAGUUAUGAUUCAGUCUUUUACCACUUCUCUUUCACUUUUUUUAAUGUAAUUUGUCAAUCUAGCACUAAUCAACAAAGGCCAUAUAGAAUGAUUUUUUUUUCUUCUAUUAAAUUGUUAGCAUAUUUUCUUUUAUUACUGUUGUAUAUAAUAGAACAUAAUAAAACAGACAUAUAUGUUGAAUGGCUAAUUAUUUAGUUUGUGUGACUAAAUAUCUAUUGGUAUCAUUUGAUCAAGUUGGAUGAUAGUUGGUUGAUACCUUUUGAAUAUUAUUUCAUUGAUUAUCUUUUUUUAUGAACAGAUGUAGAACAAUUACACAAGUUGAUGUAUAUCAGAAUAUAUUCCUUCACAUAAUCCAGAAUUUCAGAUAUCAUGAUUGUUCUCAAUAUACCAUUACAUAUAAUAAACAUAUAUUUAAAUAUAUUUAAAAUAAUAUUUUAUUCAAGUAUACCCCAUGUAUCGUAUCCUAGAAGUUUUAGGAAUUGCCGUAUCGUGUCGUAUCCGUAUCUGUAUCUGUGCAACAUAGACUAUAUGUAAUUUCAUUGCAAUUUUUGAGAACAAAUUUCUCAAUGUUCCAAAACUAAUUAUAUUUCACUGAAGAAGUUUUUGUUGUACAAAUCAUGAACCAGGCUUAGUAAACAUUUGACAUUCCUAAGAUUAAGGAAGAUACCAAAAUUGCAAGAUUAGACUGCUAACUUUUUAAUAAACCAAGAAGUUUAUAGUGUUUUCCGGCAAUCAACAGGUUCCACGCAGUUGUAACCAAAACCACUUGAAUUUAGCCUUUAAUCUAGGUUAUUGGACGAAGAUGACUAGCUAGUAAUAGGUUAGCCAUAUAAGGGUAAAGACGCAAGAUUCAAACAAACACAAUUUAUGGAUAAAAUAGUUACAAAAGAAGUCUAGGAGUGAUUUAAUUGUUGCCUUUUGUAGUGGCCUCAAAAGUGUUCUUAUUUCUACUACUGAAACAUGACUACUAGUCCCUUAGUGUCAGUGAUAAGUCCACUUUUUAAGUACAAAAAUAGCAGCAAACCAUGUUACACAAAUGCAAAUACAUGAAAGGGUUUCGACAUAAUACGGAUGAGGCGAUAUGGUAAUUUCUAAAAAUCUUAGUAUGUAGUGUACGGGGGAUAUCGGAGUGCGAUAAUCUUAAAUUCAUAUACAUUCAUAAUGGAGUAUAUCAAAAUAGUUUGGACAAUUAGAUAACAUAGAGCAAUAAAUGCACAAGCUUGUGCAAAGAUAAAGUAUUUGAUUUUGUUAAUGAAGAAUGAUGACUAAGCUAACCAAACAAUAAUUUUGAGUUUCAAUCAUGAACUAAUGAUGCAAGUGUCAUCUCAAUGCGUAAGUAAGGUAACUAAUCAUUACAUUUUUAAAAAAAUUUAAGUCAAUUAAGAAUGAGUCCAAUCUGCGUUAGUACCAAAAGGAGCACUCCAUGCCCUUCCUGCCUGCCUCCCUUAUCUAGGCAUUUUCCUAAAUUCUUGAGAUAUCAAAUACUCCUACAAGCAUCUGACAUGUACUGGGAACAUAUCGCUAUUCAAUGCAUACAGACACAGUGAAAAUGAAGCAUCCAAGUAUCAAAAGUAGCAACUAUAAAACUAAUAAGAGUUAACAAGUCCUUGGAGAGUGUGGAAGGCUUUGCAAUUGUGACACCCCGAGGAUUUGAAAUUGUCUUGUUUAUGAGGUAUAGUACGACUAAACCUCCAAAACCUGACUAUAGCAUUUUGGGCGAUGGGUAAUCCCAAGAGAUUAAGAGGGUUGAGCGAGUCUAGGGUUAGAAUAGUUUUAGAAUGGGUAACCUCCGUGGGAAGCAGGGUGUCACAGUUGGCAUCAGAGCCAAUCACCAGCCGAAAGCGUGAGAUAAGUAUCAGCUAAGCUAGGCUCAUACAGCAGGCAAAGUGCAGCUCUCCAACUGACGACCGUUAUAAGUAGAGUGCGGCUCCCCACAAUGUCGAUUAAGGCUAGCAUCAUGAGUCUUUCAUCGUCUAGUACUUGUAAGUAUGCUCAAGCCUGACAAGAACAUCAAGGCUUAAGGGAGGGUGGGGGGCUUAGUUCUAUAUAUAAGAUAUAGUAGGGUAAGUUUCUUAAACCCGGCAAUACCAUUUUAGGCAGUGGUUAAGCCCGAGAGGUUAAGAGGGUUGAGCGAGCCUAGGGCUAGAUUAGUUCUAGAAUGCAUAAACCCCCUAGAAAGUAGAGUGUCACAGCAAUAAUAGAUAAGAUGAAAAAAUGAUAAGAUAAGAGGAGGCAGCAAGAAAAGAUCAGCAGGGUUGAAAAAUGGACUGCAAAGAAAACAGCAUAGAGGAAAACUUCACAGAGACCUGAUGAGAAAGGACCAGUUGAUAUACAGCAUAACAGGAAGAAAGGAUUUCUCAUCUCAUUGGAAUUUGGAAUGUGCAAAGAAGAAAAAAAAAAUCCCUCUGACUUUUUUAGGCCAUUCUCUUUAUAAGGGGAUUACUUUUACUCCUGAAAAGAUUUUUAGAGUUAAAGACUUGUUUUCAAAGGUUCGAUAUCAUAUAUAUCUUGACCCAAAAAAUGUUCCAAGGAAAUUAUAAAGUUGGGCAUUAGCCAUGUAUACUGACAACUGAAAAAAUUGGUGGCAAAAAUAAAUUUCCAACAAGAUAAAAGUAAGUCAAAUUUUGUAUUGUCUCUCCUUGAACUGAACAAACUUUGGCUUCCUAACUAUGGGUCUGAUCCAAAUCGAGAACAUAUAUGAACCAGGUGAGUCUUGAUCAAUUGAUGGUAAAUUGGUGAUUUCUUUAUUAACGUAUUGAGUUUAGUUACCAAAAAAAGGGCUUUAAGAUGGGCAGUUUCAGAGCCAACUUAAGAACCUGUGUCAGACAAAACUUAGCCUAGCUUAAUUUUAAUAAAUGAUCUGAUUACCAUAUAUAUUCAACUAUGAUGUGGACAGCAACAAUGAGUAAAAAAAAAAAAAAAAAAAAAAAAAACGAUCGAACCCCUAAUUGACAGAAGAAAGGAAGUUCUAAAUGAAUAUCUACAUCAUCUCUAAACCACUCUUGCCACUAAUAUAGAAGGUGUUAACUGAGUUAGUCACAUUGUUAGCUCUACUUUUUCAACUCAUUGCAAAUUCACUAACCAUCUUAUCUGGAAAAUAUUUUAUAGUCAAAUUAAUGAUUAAGUAAAGAAAAUGGAGUUAAUGUAAUUGACACCCAAAAUUUUCUCUAACAGGAAAGAUAAAUAUAGAAAAACGACAACCUGUGUAAGUUCAAAUUCAAGUUCCAAAGGAAAAAAACUUGUAAGCUUAUGCAAAGUGAAAAUUGCAAAACAUACCAUGUCAACCACAGCUUGACUAGAAAGGAAUUCGAAAACCCCAUCACUUGCAAUGACAAAGAAGAGAUGGUGCGACGCAAUCUUCAGCACCUUCACCUCAGGCUCUGCAAUAACGCCGAUACUCUCGGCCGUUGAGUCUCCCACGCUCCUCGUGAACGCAGUCCCCGGGUACAUCCCAUUCGGGACCCACAGCCUCGGUGGGUCCCCGUCAUCGUUCUCCUCAUUCCCCCAGUGUUGUAUGUUAGGGUCCUUAACCCCCUCCACCUGGUCCACACUCAAAACCCGAGCCCCACACUGCUUCACCCUCUCAUACUCGUCCUUCCUGAACGGCGUCUGGUCGCAAGACAGAUCCUCGGCCACCACGGCGGAGCCAUUCCAGACGCCUGCAACAGCCCGGGAGUCACCCACAUUGGCCACAUAGAGCGUGUCGCCGCUGACGAGCACGGUGAUGGCUGUGGUGCCGCUCAUCGUGUCGUCGAUGCUGCUAUCGUGGAGCUCGGUGUUGGUGGCGAGGAAGGUCGAGGCGUAGGCCUCCGCGGGGGAAUCCAGCAGGCGGGUGUCGGCAGACAGGAUGUCGACGAGGCGGUCGCGGACGAAGGCGGCGCACUGGGCGCCGAACUGGCCGUGGCCGUCGAAGACGCCGAAGAAGUGGAGGUUGGGGUUGUCCUGCAGGCGAGUGCGGAUGCAGAGGCAGUCCUGGUUCUCGCGGUCGGGGGAUUCGGGGUAGUGGCCGCGCUGGCUGAGGGAGGAGUAGACGAGGCGGAAGUGGUGGGAGGGGACGGCGGCGGAGCCCAGCGGGGCGCCUAAGAGGACCUGCCGGCGCUGGCCGAGAAGGCUGCCGUCGUUGUGGAGAACAACGCCGCAAGGGGCGACGUCUGCUGCGCCGCCGCCGCCUCCCUCGCUUCCGGCAGCCGAAGAGUCGCCGCAACACCAGCAGCAGCAGCAGCAGCAGCAGUAGUCGUCCGCGCCGCAGCACUUGCCGUGGACGCAGCCCAUGAUCACAGAUAGGGUUCCCACGAGAGGAACCUGAAGAAGAAGAAGAAGAAGAAGAAGAAGAGGGUGAAAGGGGGGGGUGUCAAAGGAAAUAAACAACAAGUGGAAGCAAUCAUUAGCCCAUCAAGAAAUCCCUAGAAUCUGCUGACGAAACAGAGAGAGAAUAGUGCGCCAAAAGGGUCAAAAAAAGGAAAGUGAGGAAGGGAUGGGCGAAAAUAGGCUCUCUUCAAUGGAGGGGUUGGGCUGGCUUAUGCCUUCUCCCCUACAGAGGGUUUGUGCCUUUGCCCACUACCUAGGAAAAGGAUUAAAUAACCCCAUGAGAGAGAGUGAGGGAAAUGCUCAUCUCCUGAAAUCCCUACUUCAAGAAACCAAUGGCUGAACUAAUUAAUAAUCAGACAGAGAAAUGGGAACGAGACGGGCAAGACUAGCUCAUUCAUUUUAUGCUUAUUAUUAUUAUUAUUAUUAUUAUUAUAAAAUAAAACCAGAAGAGAACUCCCGAGUGUUAGGGUUGGGGGACAGUCGCAGCAGCAGCUUGGCGUUUGCUCAUCAGUCGCCAUCAUUAUUGACGGAUGUGGAACCAGAAAUCAACACGAAAUCUUUCACCCUUUUCGGGCAAAUAAAGAAAAGAUUAAAAGAAAAUGGGACUACGCGAGCGCGAAUAUAGAUUUUUUUUUUUUUUCCUUUGUUUUUUUUUUUCCUUCUUUCUCCUGGAGAUUCGGUGAGUGGGGAUGACGGGUGUCACGCGUGACCGUGGGAAGCUAGAAACCAGAAUGGGCAAAAUAGCAUAAAUUAUGCCAUGCACCUUGUUCUAUCCACCGAAAUUUUUUAACAGUUAAAUUUUUUAAAAAAUAGAAAUAACUGUAGAAAAUAUCUUUUAAAUUCUGGUGCUCUUGCAGAUAGACUCUGAGCUUUAAUUUUGAUAACUAGAUUUUUUCCUUAAAAGUAUAUUACUAAAUACCGAACUGAGUCUGAUCUUUCUGCCUGAAAAACUCUGUAGUCUAACCUCGUCUGAAGGAAGGAUUUUGAUCUUCGUUACCAUUCCGAAGUGGAUGAUUUAGAUCCUCUUGAGUGGAUGUUAAGUGGGCAUCUCAUCUAUCUAGUCGGGACUCUGAGCGGAUCAAAGAGAGUGAGAAACUAUUUUCUCUUCUAGCAGCAAUAAUUAAAUAUCCUAGUUGAUUGUCCCUAGCACAAGUUGCAAAAGGCUUGAUGGUUGAUACCCGAGGUCCCAAAUUUGAAUCCUAGUUGAUUCACAUUUCCAGCUAAGUUUAUUUCUAAACAAAAUAAAACGAAACGGGAUGAAAGAAUAGGAUAAACCAUUCUUUAAUUUUUAGAGUUAAUUGCAUACAGGUCUCUGCAAACAUGAUGAAUUACAAAUAUAUUCCUGCAAAGUUCAACUUUCAUAAAUUAUCCCUACAAAAGCCCUAAUGUAUUCAAAUAUGUCCCUCUGGUUAGCAUCCGUUAGAGAACUGUUUAGUUUUUAACAGUAGAUUCGUGAAAUGACUUUUUUUUCCCUCACAAAUAUGUCUCUUCAAAACUUCAGCUGGUAUACAUUUGCAUAAAUGCCCUCACAAAUCUCCAUUUUCCUCUUUCUUUUUUUUCAGGCUGCAGGAGCGGACAGCGGCAGCGGCAGCGGCAGCGGCGGCGGCGGCGACGGCACGGAGCUUGUUGGAGUUGCGGCCGACGAGGACAAGGUUGAGGCCCGCAAUGACGAGGUGAAGGGCGAAGGUGCGGCCAAUUCGAAGAAAGAGGAGGAAAAUGAAAAGGAAGAAGUAGGAGGAGAAAAGGAGGAGGAGGAGGAGGAGGAGGAGAAGAAGAAGAGGAAGAGGAAGAGGAAGAGGAAGAAGAAGAAGAUGAAAAGGAAGAGGAAGAGGAAGAAGAAGAAGGAUAAAAUUGUCAAUUUUCCUUAUUAAUUAAACAUGGUUAAGUAUUUUAAUUAUGGUUAAUUAAAUUUUUUUAACGGAACUUAACGGCAGGGACAUAUCUGAAUACAUUAGGAUUUUUGUAGGGAUAACUUAUGAAAAUUGAACUUUGCAGGAAUAUAUCUGCAAUUCACCAUAUUUGCAGGGACAUGUAUGCAAUUAACCCUAAUUUUUAUUACUUUUUUCAUUCCUUCGAAUAGAAAAAAUAAAUUCUCUUUCUUUUGUGUUGUGAACCUUUGUAGGAUAAAAUGCAAAAAAUACAACAAAUAUAGUUGUUUAGUAAGGCUUAGUUUGAUAUUGAAGUCUAUCUAACGCUACUAGAUAAAAUAGAGUUGAGGAAAAAGCAUAUAGGAAUAUGCUUCUACGUUCUCUGGUCGGAUCGUUGAAAAUAUAUCGUUACCGACUCAUCGCGAUAUGCGGAACGUAAUAUUACGUACGAAAACAAACAGGGUAUUUUUUCAACGUACUUUCUCACCGCACGUAACGUAAUCUCCCGGCAAUCCCAAACGAAGCCUAACUUCGCUUGAGAAGAAUAAUAUAUGAAAAAAUCUCGUAAAGUUUAAAAAUUUUAUUAUCAAAAUUAAAAGUUCAGAAGGUUUACUUGCAAAAGUGCUUAAGCUUUGAAUUUGUUUGUACAUUUAUUCCAAAAUUUUAAACUAUGAGUCAUUAGAUGAAAUCUACAAUUUAAAUUAUAAAAUUUAUAAUUUUUUUUGGCUUUUCUUCAUGUGACCAAGAAUAAACUUUGGAAAGACAUAAUAAAUUCACAUGAUAUAAAAUUUUGUUACCGGUAGGUGAGGGCUUAGAUUACCUUUCCCGACUACUCCACAAUAUUUCUAUACAUUCUAAUAAGAGCAGCAUUAUUAAUACACUGUAAAGUGAGAUGUAUAUUUUACAUUAUUUUUAUUCAAGAGUCAUUUUUUUUGCUUGUCACAUUUUUUUUUUUACUGAAAAUCAUUUGGAUUAUUGCGAAGCCCAAUCAAAAAAUGGUAAAGUUGGUAAAAUUCAGAUUAAAUCUGAUUGUUUUUACCUAUAAUAUAUUCAAAAUUUUCUUUCUCGUCAAAAGAUUUGUGCACUUAAGUUAUAAAAUUUGAACGCUACUCUCCAUUAGUUUAACAAUAUACCUGUCUAUAUCUUUGAUAUUUGAGAUUAUUUGAUGUUCAGGUACUGAAUUUCCAUUUGGAAAUUAGCCGAUAAGAUACACACACGUACCCUACCUUUUUCUUCAAGCAGGAUCUAAAUUUAAAGCCCACCAUCAAAUGGUCGAGAAUACCUACUAACAAAUUACUGUAGUGUAGUGUCUUAGUGACACAUUUUCAGAAAUUAUUAUUUAAAUAUGAGAGCCUUUAGAUAUAUUAAUCACAUAUAUCGUACACAAUUUUAAAUUUAAUAUUAUUAUUUUUUUUUUUUAUUAAAUAUUAAAUGUCGUGUGUAAAGACAAUAAUUUUACAAAGGCUAGAGAUCUUAGAAAUAAACCGCCAAACACAAUUAAAAAAUUCUAGAUGGUACAAACAAAAAAUUACGUUGUUUUACAUGUAAGCUGAUUGUGUUACAUUUUUUUUUUUUUAUGAGAGAAAGAUAAGUAUGCUACCCGCUUUGCUUAUUUCUUUUAAAAAUAAACUUAGCUAGAAAUAUAAAGUAAAUAGACUUCGAACUUAAACCUGGGGUACCAACCAUCAAUUUCUUUACCACUUGCGCUAGGACGGUCAGUUUUUGUGUUACAAAUCUUGUCAAAUAAUCUAUAUUUAUUAUUUAGGUAACUUACCCGGCUAGAUCAAGAACUUUUCCUAGAACUCUACUGUGUUCCUCAACAUUUUAGAUUUAAUAUUUGAGAUUCUAAUUUUUUUUGGCAAUGUUUUAUUUUAGUUCCAAAACUAGCAAAAAUAUUUUAUUUUUUAAAGAUAGAUAGCACGCUACCCGCUUCGUUUUCUUCAUUUAGAAAUAAACUUAGCUGGAAAUGUGAAUCAACCAGGAUUCGAACUUGAGUCUCGGGUACCAACCACCAAGCCCUUUGCCACUUGCUUUAGGAACGGUCGGUAGCAAAAAUAUUUUAUUGUUCUCCUUAUGGUGAAAUGAACAAUAUUGCUUCCACUAGUGCGCUUUAUGUUCUUAUAUUACGGCUCUGGUAGAUCUUUAGUCCCACAAAUACUUUUAGGUUAAAAGUCAUGUUUAAUACGGUAAAAAAAUUUAUCACCUAAUUAAUAUUAAGGUAGAAAUAUUUGAUUACUUUUAGGUUAAAAGUCAUGUUUAAUACAGUAAAAAAAAUUAUCACCUAAUUAAUAAUAAGGUAGAAAUAUUUGAUUACUUUUAGGGUGCGUUUGGUUCGCAUUAUGAAAGAUUACUAGGAAUAAAAGAUAUCCGAGAAUCUUAUUCCUAUUCAUCAUAUUACUAAGAAUGUGGAAUUCCCGCGUUUGGUUCGCACGGUAAUAUUAAUUAGCCAUGUUAUUUAAUAUUGCAAAAAAUAUGCAAUUAAUUAAUUUAUUUAUUUAAUUAAUUUUAGAUAAUGUUACCAAAAGUUUCAACAUCUUUUUAGAAAAAAGGAAGAGAGAGUAUAAGUUAGAGAGAGAGCAUAAUUGAAAAAAUAGAAAGAAAAAUAUAGUCGAAAUUAGAGAGAGUGAGAGUUGAAAUUUUAGAAAGAGAGAGAGAGAGAGAAAGCUUAGUUUAGAGAGAGAAAAAAAAUUGAAUUUAGAGAGAAAAAUAAGUUUAGAGAGAGAUAUAAGGUUAGAAUGUAAAGAAAAAUAAUAUCAAUUAGCCGCGGGUAGGAAGAAAUAAAGAGAUUAGACAUAUUAUGAUUACCUGAAUCCAUUAAUAUGAGGAUACCCACCUUCCUUCAAGGGAAUGAGAUUAGUACUUUGGGGUGAAUCAUAUUUCCAAGUGAAUCCAAUAUUACUAAUUAGAUUACUUAGUGCGUUUAGUCAAACACCGUCAUAUUUUUUUAUUCCCAUUGGAUUACUAGGAAUCUUUAAAAAAUAGCGCGAACCAAACGCACCCUUAGGUUAAAAGUCAUGUUUAAUACAGUAAAAAAAAUUAUCACCUAAUUAAUAAUAAGGUAGAAAUAUUUGAUUACUUUUAGGUUAAAAGUCAUGUUUAAUACAGUAAAAAAAAUUAUCACCUAAUUAAUAAUAAGGUAGAAAUAUUUGAUUACUUUUAGGUUAAAAGUCAUGUUUAAUACAGUAAAAAAAAUUAUCACCUAAUUAAUAAUAAGGUAGAAAUAUUUGAUGAGAAAGAAUCGGUAAAUACAUAGUAUUAAAUACACAUGCACGGAGUGGAGGUGACAGUUCAAGCUUCAAUACUAAAUAGAUAAAAAACAAAUAGAAUCUCAAUUAAACAAUGAGUAAUUUUGAAACAGCUAUCCAACCUAUUAAAAUUUUAAUUUUACUAUUCAAUCUUUCAAUUUGUCUGAUUUUAGUCAGUCAACGAUAUUUUAAUUUCAAAUUUUAAGCUAAUUAUUUAGUUUAAAAAAUUAAUAAUUGCAAGAAUUGUAUGAAAUAUAUUAAUUAAAUCUGAAAGGAGAAACAAUGUAUUUAAAUUUUAAAGCCAAAUUGUCGUUGAUUAACUGAAAUCAAAUGAAUUAAGCAGUUGGAUAGUAAAAUUAAAAUUUUUAAAGGUUGGCUAGCCAUUUCAAAAUAGUCUAUGGUUCAGAUAAGUUUUAUAUAUUUUUAUCUAGUACACAUACAUAACAACUAAAAUAAAAAUCUUUCAAGAGUUUAAAAUCUCUAACAUUAAAAUAAAAAAUUUGAAGAUCAAAAUAAAAUAUAGUUGAAAGCUAAGAGACAGGUAGUGUAUUUUUACUCUCUAGAUUCCGGCAAUAUUUUAAAAAUAGAUUACAUAGCGACUCGAAAAUAUUACUGGAUAAAAAGGAUCACUUGUUGAACUAGUAA